rnacentral:rRNA from 1 species
AACCCCUGCAUUCAGCUGCCAUCGGUAAGGCCGGGCACUCUGAUGGACUGCCGGCGACAAGCCGGAGGAAGUGGGGACGACGUCAAGUCAUCAUGGCCCUUAUGUCCAGGGCGACACACGUGCUACAAUGGCCGGCACAACGGGAAGCGAAGGGGCGACCCUGAGCGGAUCCCACAAAAGCCGGUCUCAGUUCGGAUUGCAGUCUGCAACUCGACUGCAUGAAGUUGGAAUCGCUAGUAAUCGUGGAUCAGCCAAGCCGCGGUGAAUACGUUCCCGGGCCUU